GUCACCACCUACCUGCUUUAUCUCUUUGUCACAUUUUCAUCUCUUUCUACUUCAACUUUCCUUUGAUUCAUCCCCAAAAGCUUUCCCCUAGGCCACUUGGCAGUAUUCCCUCACUAGUCAAAAUCUGGUGGGUCUUUCUUGAGUGAGCUCUCAGAGCUGACCUCCUUUUUUAAGACAUCUAUUUGCAUGCAGGUGGCCAUCGAUGACAUCAAUGGUUUUGCAGUAUUGAGCCACAUUUUGGAUUUUACCUAGAAGAUGUGCAGAAUAUAAAUGUUUUCAUGAGAACAAAAUAUACAGCUGGAUGUUUGUCACAAUUCUAAUGUCCCUGCAAAGAUGAGAUGCAUGAAUCACACAGCAAUCUCAUCAAAAAGGAAUUUCUGGAAGGCAUAGGAGAAGAGAAUCCUGGAAAAAGCAAGAAGCAGGAAGAUAAGAGGCAAAGAAGAAGAGAGCCCCACCCACUGGGGCAAGCUGGGGCCCCAGAUGAUGAAACUGUGGCCCAGAAAGUUUAAGGGAUGUGUCAAAUGUCACACAGCUCACAGAUCCAGGGACAUGGCUUAAAUCCAGAUAUCUUGAUUCUAACUUCAGUUGAGGAAGAGAAAGAGUGCUGCCCCACGCUGCCUGAUUUACAACGUGAAGUGAAAUCUUUGAAAAGAAAAAUAAGACAAUGUCACUCAAGCUCUUAUCUGAGGAUUUCCUGGGUUUGAAGACAGAGCUCAAACUCAUACAAGGGGUCAUCUGAGUCUGCAGAUAGGCUUGCUUUAUGCUGCUCCGUCAGAUCUCUUCUAAAGAUUAGUGCGCAAUUCUGGACAUUACAUUUUAAUGGUAACAUGGAUUCAACUAAAGGCCGCAGCAACUUUGCUUUGUACACUCUGUCUCCUGCCAAGAGAGCCCAGGGAAGGUAAUGUCUCCUGGAUCGUAUGAAAUGUUUCUGUAACGGUCACUGUAACUCACACCUUGAUUUUUACCAGGUCGCUGGCAAGUGCGAUGGAUUGUAAUUGCUGCACAUUCAUGAGGGCUUCUCAAGGUUACCCGGGCACAGUGAAUACCAAAAGAAGAAUAAGACGGAGAGCUAUUCCUCAGUGAAGCAGAGUUUACAACCCUUGUUCAUUUUGGCCAAAGGCCAGCUGACUCUAGUUUACCUAACUUUUAGAGAGUUUCAGAAAAAAAAAUGGAAGUAAUAUCCUGCCUUUGAGUAUGGAGACAAAAUUCUAAUAUCAUAAGAGAGUUAUCAGAGGUUAAGGCAGUUAGAAGGGUUCAUUCAUUCAACAUUCAACACAAACUGUGAACACCUAACAUUUGCCAUGUACAAAGAAGGACGUUCUGCCUUGGACUAACAUCCAUUCCUGUGAGGGAAGAGAAGCAGCAGCCCCCGAGCACUGCCAGCUGCUGCUGCUGCGAUCCCAGUGUCUGAGUUUGUGACUCGCCGGGAGAUUGUCUGUUCCUGCUGCUUCCAAUAUCGUCUUGGCCUUUAUGAAGGCACAUGCACACGACUGUAGCGGCACCCCUGUCUCCGGCCCAUUGUGGACAUGACUGCUCUUCCAGUGUGGCUCCCCUGUGACAGGCACCUGCUCAGCAACCUACAGAAGCUCCCCCAGCUAUCACAGCUCAAAACUAAAUGUAGACGUGUGACUCUAUGAUACCUUCUGGCUAAAGAUUGCAUCUUUAUCAUCAGAGCAAUAUAUAUCAGGUUGAUUUAUUAACACUCUAUCUCCAAUUGGCUCUAUGCAAUGUGCAGACAAAUAAACACGUAAAUGAAUAAG
rnacentral:lncRNA from 1 species